CUGAACAUGCAAACACACAAGAGAGGAUUAACUUGGAGUGUGCUGAGAGAGAACAACUUGAGGAGAGGUUAAAAGAAGAGCGUGCUGAAAGGGAAAGAUUAUUCCAAGAGGAGCGAACAUCAAGACUGGAAUUUGAAAAAAAAACAUGAUGGCAAAGUUUGUAGAAUUGAGCCAACAGAUGGGAACCCAACAGGUGAUUACAGUCAUACGCUUUUGACCUUGUAAGAUUUAUGUUGCUUACUUGCAUUGCUAAAAGUGCACUUCUAUUUACAAGUGCCUGCGAAGAGGGUUGACAACAAAGAAAAUAGUAAUCCAAACUUGCAAAAUAUUCUAUUACAAAGAUCUAUUCCUAAUAAGACUUCAGGUUCAAGGCCAACUGCUAUUUCUUCAAAUGCGCUCAUACAAGCUGCAGCAAGGAAUUCUCGAAUGUUUAAAGCAAUGGAUCCAAAGAACUAGCUGGACUGGACUCUAGAUCACAGACAUUUUAGUCUUCGCAGUUAAUUAGGAUGGCGAAAUUACAUUUGAGUUUCAUUUGAUGGAUAUUUGCUAUGAGAAUUAUGAAUUUUAUGAAUUUACAUAUUAUACGUAUGGUUUUGAAUAUUGUAAUUGAAAGCCUGUAUUUUUUUACGGUUGCAAUAGGUUAUUAUCACAACCCACUUUUGGUUGCCACAUGCUAGCACCAAUACAAAUAUAUUGUUGCGUCAUAUCUCA